GCUUGUUGGUGAGGUAGUGGCUCACCAAGGCGACGACGGGUAGCCGGCCUGAGAGGGCGACCGGCCACACUGGGACUGAGACACGGCCCAGACUCCUACGGGAGGCAGCAGUGGGGAAUAUUGCACAAUGGGCGAAAGCCUGAUGCAGCGACGCCGCGUGAGGGAUGACGGCCUUCGGGUUGUAAACCUCUUUCAGCAGGGAAGAAGCGAAAGUGACGGUACCUGCAGAAGAAGCGCCGGCCAACUACGUGCCAGCAGCCGCGGUAAUACGUAGGGCGCAAGCGUUGUCCGGAAUUAUUGGGCGUAAAGAGCUCGUAGGCGGCUUGUCACGUCGGUUGUGAAAGCCCGGGGCUUAACCCCGGGUCUGCAGUCGAUACGGGCAGGCUAGAGUUCGGUAGGGGAGAUCGGAAUUCCUGGUGUAGCGGUGAAAUGCGCAGAUAUCAGGAGGAACACCGGUGGCGAAGGCGGAUCUCUGGGCCGAUACUGACGCUGAGGAGCGAAAGCGUGGGGAGCGAACAGGAUUAGAUACCCUGGUAGUCCACGCCGUAAACGGUGGGCACUAGGUGUGGGCAACAUUCCACGUUGUCCGUGCCGCAGCUAACGCAUUAAGUGCCCCGCCUGGGGAGUACGGAAU
rnacentral:rRNA from 1 species